UACAGAGGGUGCGAGCGUUAAUCGGAAUUACUGGGCGUAAAGCGUGCGUAGACGGCUAUCUAAGUCGGGUGUGAAAGCCCCGGGCUCAACCUGGGAAUUGCAUUCGAGACUGAAUAGCUAGGGUGCGGUAGAGGGAAGCGGAAUUUCCGGUGUAGCGGUGAAAUGCGUAGAUAUCGGAAGGAACACCGGUGGCGAAGGCGGCGACCUGGGUAGAUACUGACGCUGAGGUGCGAAAGCGUGGGGAGCAAACAGG
rnacentral:rRNA from 1 species